CAAGUCGAACGGGCCGCAAGGCCAGUGGCGCAAGGGUGAGUAAGGCGACGGUAACCAACCCCGCAAUUGGGUAUAGCCGCGGGAAACCGCGGGUAAUCCCCAGCGACGCAAGGACGCCGGCAUCGGCGUCUUGCCAAAGCUUCGGCGUUGUGGGACGGGCUGUCGUGGUAUUAGCUUGUUGGCGGGGUAACGGCCCACCAAGGCGGCGAUGCCUACCGGGCGUGCGAGCGUGGCCCGGCACACUGGGACUGAGACACUGCCCAGACUCCUACGGGAGGCUGCAGUCGAGAAUCUUCGGCAAUGGGCGCAAGCCUGACCGAGCGACGCCGCGUGGAGGACGAAGGCCUUCGGGUUGUAAACUCCUGUCGAGGGGGAAAAAGGACCGCAAGGUCUUGAUUGAUCCCUGGGGGAAGCACGGGCUAAGUUCGUGCCAGCAGCCGCGGUAAGACGAACCGUGCGAACGUUAUUCGGAAUCACUGGGCUUAAAGCGCGUGUAGGCGGACGAGCGCGUCUGACGCUGAAAUCCCCCGGCUCAACCGGGGAACUGGCGGAGAUACGGCUCGUCUGGAGGGGCGUAGGGGGACCUGGAACUUCCGGCGGAGCGGUGAAAUGCGUUGAGAUCGGAAGGAACGCCCGUGGCGAAAGCGAGGUCCUGGACGCCUACUGACGCUGAAACGCGAAAGCCAGGGGAGCGAACGGGAUUAAAUACCCCGGUAGUCCUGGCCGUAACGAUGGGUACUGGAUAGGGGGCUCGCCGAUGGGCUCCCUGUCGUAGGGAACCGUGAAGUACCCGCCUGGGGAGUUUGGUCGCAAGGCUGAACUCAAAGAAUUGACGGGGCUCA
rnacentral:rRNA from 1 species